GGAAAGGGUGGAGCACAACGUCGAAAGCAGCCGUUGGGAGCCCAGGAGGCGGGGCGCCUGUGGGAGCCGUGGAGGGAACUUUCCCAGUCCCCGAGGCGGAUCCGGUGUUGCAUCCUUGGAGCGAGCUGAGAGCUCGAGAACCUGCUAAGGCCAUCAAACCUAUUGAUCGGAAGUCAGUCCAUCAGAUUUGCUCUGGGCCGGUGGUACCGAGUCUAAGCACUGCGGUGAAGGAGUUAGUAGAAAACAGUCUGGAUGCUGGUGCCACUAAUAUUGUGCUGGGAUUACAGGCAUGAACCACCGCGCCUGGCCCCCGUUCUCCUUACUGGAUCUAAAGCUUAAGGACUAUGGAGUGGAUCUCAUUGAAGUUUCAGGCAAUGGAUGUGGGGUAGAAGAAGAAAACUUCGAAGGCUUAACUCUGAAACAUCACACAUCUAAGAUUCAAGAGUUUGCCGACCUACCUCAGGUUGAAACUUUUGGCUUUCGGGGGGAAGCUCUGAGCUCACUUUGUGCACUGAGUGAUGUCACCAUUUCUACCUGCCAUGUAUCGGCGAAGGUUGGGACUCGACUGGUGUUUGAUCACUAUGGGAAAAUCAUCCAGAAAACCCCCUACCCCCACCCCAGAGGGAUGACAGUCAGUGUGAAGCAGUUAUUUUCUACGCUACCUGUGCACCAUAAAGAAUUUCAAAGGAAUAUUAAGAAGAAACGUGCCUGCUUCCCCUUCGCCUUCUGCCGUGAUUGUCAGUUUCCUGAGGCCUCCCCAGCCAUGCUUCCUGUACAGCCUGCAGAACUGACUCCUAGAAGUACCCCACCCCACCCCUGCUCCUUGGAGGACAACGUGAUCACUGUAUUCAGCUCUGUCAAGAAUGGUCCAGGUUCUUCUAGAUGAUCUGCACAAAUGGCUCCUCUCCUCCUUCCUGAUGUCUGCCAUUAGCACUGGAAUAAAGUUCCUGCUGAAAAUCCACA
rnacentral:lncRNA from 1 species